rnacentral:rRNA from 1 species
AGUACUCAGGUGGGUGACCACUGGGGAAUCCUCGGUGUUGUAUGUAUUUU